CCUCGCCCGUACCCCGGCGUCACGUUCAGGGGUGGCAGGACCCACUCCCCCAGCCCAGCUGCUGGCCUAUGAGAGUAGGGAGUUUGAUGACAUCCUCCAGUGGGACUUCACUGAGGACUUCUUCAACCUGACGCUCAAGGAGCUGCACCUGCAGCGCUGGGUGAUGGCUGCCUGCCCCCAGGCCCAUUUCAUGCUAAAGGGAGAUGACGAUGUCUUUGUCCACGUCCCCAACGUGUUAGAGUUCCUGGAUGGCUGGGACCCGGCCCAGGACCUCCUGGUGGGAGAUGUCAUCCGCCAAGCCCUGCCCAACAGGAACACUAAGGUCAAAUACUUCAUCCCACCCUCAAUGUACAGAGCCACCCACUACCCACCCUAUGCUGGUGGGGGAGGGUAUGUCAUGUCCAGAGCCACGGUGCAGCGCCUCCAGGCUAUCAUGGAAGAGGCUGA
rnacentral:sRNA from 1 species